rnacentral:tRNA from 1 species
GAGGGUACAGCUCAAGUGGUAGAGCACAUGCUUAGCAUGCAUGAGGUCCUGGGUUCAAUCUCCAGUACCUCCU